ACCCACUUCAUUCCCAUCUGCAUGAAGGUGCAAUGAAAUUUUCUGGUCUUGUAAUGCGUCAAAUUUAAUCGGAGUCUUGUCACAAUGAGUUGCUGUGCACUUCAAGAAUUUAAGGUGUGAAUCCAUUAUGAUUUGCCGUGCAACUCAAGAAAUUUAAAGUGUGGAUCCAUGAUGAGUUGUGCAUCUCAAGAAUUUAAUGCUUCCAUGAUGAGUUGUGCACCUCAAGAUUUUAAUGCUUCCAUGAUGAGUUGUGCAACUCGAGUAUUUAAGGCCUGGAUUAAGAUGAGGGAAUAUUCAGCCUAGGUUAGUAUCUAAACUUCCCCCUAUAAAUUUUGUUCAAGAAAAUGAAGAGGAAAUCUUAGAAUCCUUUCUUG